GUGAGGCAUGCUGGAGGUAUCAGAAGUGCGAAUGCUGACAUAAGUAACGAUAAAGCGGGUGAAAAGCCCGCUCGCCGGAAGACCAAGGGUUCCUGUCCAACGUUAAUCGGGGCAGGGUGAGUCGACCUCUAAGGCGAGGCCGAAAGGCGUAGUCGAUGGGAAACAGGUUAAUAUUCCUGUACUUGGUGUUACUGCGAAGGGGGGACGGAGAAGGCUAUGUUGGCCGGGCGACGGUUGUCCCGGUUUAAGCGUGUA
rnacentral:rRNA from 1 species